rnacentral:rRNA from 1 species
GUAAGGUAACGGCUUACCAAGGCAAUGAUGCAUAGCCGAGUUGAGAGACUGAUCGGCCACAUUGGGACUGAGACACGGCCCAAACUCCUACGGGAGGCAGCAGUAGGGAAUCUUCCACAAUGGACGAAAGUCUGAUGGAGCAACGCCGCGUGAGUGAAGAAGGGUUUCGGCUCGUAAAGCUCUGUUGGUAGUGAAGAAAGAUAGAGGUAGUAACUGGCCUUUAUUUGACGGUAAUUACUUAGAAAGUCACGGCUAACUACGUGCCAGCAGCCGCGGUAAUACGUAGGUGGCAAGCGUUGUCCGGAUUUAUUGGGCGUAAAGCGAGUGCAGGCGGUUGCUUAGGUCUGAUGUGAAAGCCUUCGGCUUAACCGAAGAAGUGCAUCGGAAACCGGGCGACUUGAGUGCAGAAGAGGACAGUGGAACUCCAUGUGUAGCGGUGGAAUGCGUAGAUAUAUGGAAGAACACCAGUGGCGAAGGCGGCUGUCUGGUCUGCAACUGACGCUGAGGCUCGAAAGCAUGGGUAGCGAACAGGAUUAGAUACCCUGGUAGUCCAUGCCGUAAACGAUGAGUGCUAAGUGUUGGGAGGUUUCCGCCUCUCAGUGCUGCAGCUAACGCAUUAAGCACUCCGCCUGGGGAGUACGACCGCAAGGUUGAAACUCAAAGGAAUUGACGGGGGCCCGCACAAGCGGUGGAGCAUGUGGUUUAAUUCGAAGCAACGCGAAGAACCUUACCAGGUCUUGACAUCCAGUGCAAACCUAAGAGAUUAGGUGUUCCCUUCGGGGACGCUGAGACAGGUGGUGCAUGGCUGUCGUCAGCUCGUGUCGUGAGAUGUUGGGUUAAGUCCCGCAACGAGCGCAACCCUUGUCAUUAGUUGCCAUCAUUAAGUUGGGCACUCUAAUGAGACUGCCGGUGACAAACCGGAGGAAGGUGGGGAUGACGUCAGAUCAUCAUGCCCCUUAUGACCUGGGCUACACACGUGCUACAAUGGACGGUACAACGAGUCGCAAGCUCGCGAGAGUAAGCUAAUCUCUUAAAGCCGUUCUCAGUUCGGACUGUAGGCUGCAACUCGCCUACACGAAGUCGGAAUCGCUAGUAAUCGCGGAUCAGCAUGCCGCGGUGAAUACGUUCCCGGGCCUUGCACUCACCGCCCGUCA